GAUGGCCGCUGUUAUUGGCCUAAAGCGUCCGUAGCUUGCCGUCCAAAUCUAUCGGGAAAUCGACGUGCUCAACGCGUCGGCUUCCGGUGGAAACUGCAGGGCUUGGGGCCGGGAAGACUCAGCGGGUACGUCCGGGGUAGGAAGUGAAAUCCUGUAUUCCUGGACGGACCACCAAUGGGAAAGCACGCUGAGAANCCGGACCCGACAGUGAGGGACGAAAGCCAGGGUCUCGAACCGGAUUAGAUACCCGGGUAGUCCUGGCCGUAAACGAUGCUCGUUAGGUCUGCCGUGCACUACGAGUGCACGGUGAGCCGAAGUGAAGACGAUAAACGAGCCGCCUGGGAAGUACGUCCGCAAGGAUGAAACUUAAAGGAAUUGGCGGGGGAGCACCACAACCGGAGGAGCCUGCGGUUUAAUUGGACUCAACGCCGGACAUCUCACCAGUCCCGACAGCAAUAACGACGGUCAGCUUGACGAGCUUACCCGAGUUGCUGAGAGGAGGUGCAUGGCCGCCGUCAGCUCGUACCGUGAGGCAUCCUGUUAAGUCAGGUAACGAGCGAGACCCGCAUCCGUAGUUGCCAGAGAUACCCUGAGGUAGUCGGGUACACUACGGAGACCGCCGACGCUAAGUCGGAGGAAGGAACGGGCAACGGUAGGUCAGUAUGCCCCGAAUGGACUGGGCAACACGCGGGCUACAAUGGUCGAGACAAUGGGUCGCGAUACCGAGAGGUAGAGCUAAUCCCCCAAACUCGGUCGUAGUUCGGAUUGUGGGCUGAAACUCGCCCACAUGAAGCUGGAUUCGGUAGUAAUCGCGUGUCAGAAGCGCGCGGUGAAUACGUCCCUGCUCCUUGCACACACCGCCCGUCAAAGCACCCGAGUGAGGUCCGGAUGAGGCCAUCAUGCGAUGGUCGAAUCUG
rnacentral:rRNA from 1 species